GUUUUCCUGCGUUUAUGGUACUUCCUACUACAAAGACAGUCUGACGCAUUAGAAGUCUGUUUGACUUGAUAGUUUACUGCAAUUUUUAAUUAUAAGGCGAAGUAUCAAGAAGAAAGUGUAUAAUGUAUUUUGAAGGUAAUGAUGAAUCGGUGCAUUUUGAAUUGUAUAAAUAUACCGGAAUUAUUCCAUGCGCACUGACUUUUAUAGCCUUGUGCUCAGCAUGUCUAUCGACAAGACGUCAUCGAUAUAACAGUUUGCUGUGGCCCACUGUUUUCAACUUUUUAACCAUACUCAUUGCCAAUGGUAGCAUAUUUUUCUUUGAAGUUCCCAUUAGUAUUGGUGAUGCUUUGAUAAUGUCAGGAAUUCUGGGCGCUUAUUCUAUGUUCAUGCUAUGCAGCAGUUAUCGACGACCAAGUUUACGUUCAUUUUGUGUAACAGGAUUUGUAAUUAUUAUUCUAGUCUUCCCUAAAAUAAUUACUAUUCUCCUGGAACAUAUGUGGCACAUUCUGACAGUAAAGUACAUGUACAGCUUUUUCAUAGGUAUGUUUUUCAUUAUUGUGAGACAGCUGUACAUUAUAUAUCUAUUGGAGACUUCCAGUGGCAAUCUUCGUUCCUUUCCAAAGCGAACACGUUCCAAGCAUGAGUGCAGAUAUAAGGAACGUAAAGGUGUGUCUCAGGAUACAUUGGAUAUGACAGACAGUGAUACAGAAGCUACAGCAACAUCAUCUGAGAUUGAGUCGUGAGAUGAUCACCAAUGAUUAAUGAAGCAAACCUAAAUACUAAUAACCAUUGUAGAGUGAAUUAAUGUUAUUUUUCUAUUGGAAAUAUUAUCGUAUAACUUUAUAGCUAUUUAAAAUAACUAUUUUAAAGUGAUAAUACUUUUAACUUUUUACUCUAAUAUUUGAAGUGCUAAGUCAUCAAAUGUUCCUUUACCGAUAAUAAUUUAUAAAAUAAGUGUCAAAAUUGUAUUUGAUUUUAAAAAUUUAAAUAUAUUUAUAUACAUUUUUUCAUAAUGUUUACUUUCCGUUUGGAUUCUAAGCUGGUAAUCUAUUCAAAGGAAGACAGGUUUGGGAGGGACUCAUUCCCUCCUUGAUAAAUAGGUGUACAUAUUCCUACAUAAAUUUUACUAUUAAAAUAAUAAAUUAAUCUUUUUACGACUUUUUAUGCAAAAUUUUUUUGAAAUCCUGUUACGAUUUACGAGAUGUGAAAAAAAUAUAUAAAUACAAUUUUACCAACUUGGAGCAUCAACUGAUUUAUAAGAUUUUAAAGAACCUAACUCUUGUAGAGGAAGCUUUCAUUUAUUAAUCAGUAGUGUAAAAGCUGAAAUUGUCUUGUAUUACAGUUUAAUUUGAUUGAACAAGUGUUUAAAUGAAUGAUUUUGAAAUUAGCAUUCAUAUUGCAUAUAUUUUCGCAUUUUCUAGAAUGUGAAGCUUGAAGCAAGAAGUUUAAAAUGUAGGCUUUAUUCAAAUUUUACUGUUUAUUUGUUCAUGAAAUAUUUAAAUAAAAAUUUCCACUAUUA